rnacentral:rRNA from 1 species
GGAGGCAGCAGUCGGGAAUUUUGGACAAUGGGGGAAACCCUGAUCCAGCGACGCCGCGUGAAGGAAGAAGGCUUUCGGGUUGUAAACUUCUUUUCACCAGGAGGCCGUCACUUAAAUUUUCGUAAUAUUACGAAAAUUUAAGUGACGGAUACAGUACUGGUGGAAUAAGUCACGGCUAACUACGUGCCAGCAGCCGCGGUAAUACGUAGGUGGCAAACGUUAUCCGGAAUUACUGGGUGUAAAGCGUUCGUAGGUUUUCUGUAAGGUCUUUGAUCAAAUUCGCAAGCUUAACUUGCGACCGGUUAUAGAAACCGCCAGAAUAGAAGGGUAUCGAGGUAAGUGGAAUUUGCGGUGUAGCAGUGAAAUGCGUUGAUAUCGCAAGGAACACCAAUGGCGAAGGCAGCUUACUAGGUAUCAUUUGACACUGAGGAACGAAAGCGUGGGUAGCAAACGGGAUUAGAUACCCCGGUAGUCCACGCCUUAAACGAUGGAUACUAGAUUUUGGUAGUAUCGACCCUAUCAGAAUCGAAGCAAACGCGAUAAGUAUCCCACCUGGGGAUUACGGCCGCAAGGCUAAAACUCAAAGGAAUUGACGG